AAUGGACACCUGAAAGCACAGCAAUCAAAAACUAUUUUUGAAUUGCAAUUUCGCAACAGAAACGCAUACUCUCACGGAAGGGGGGUAGAAAAUAUAUAGUACACUGUGGAUCAUAGGGAAUAAAAAUUUGCAACAACCAUCCAGCCAGUCUUUAACUAAUACUCACAAUAAUAAUACCAUCUACUGUCUACUGUGAAUGGACCACACAAAUUUCCGCGCGAAGCUGAACGAAAAAUUGUUAGUGCUAUGACCUGUCGCAAGAAAAAACACACUCCACUCGAAAAAGAAGAGACCAAAAAGCAAGAAAAAACAAUUCAAAUGAAAUUUGUAUUCCAAUUAGACGCGUUCCAAAGCAAUUUGCCCGGACGAAGGCAUUAGAAAAAGGGUCUUUAAUUCCGCCACAGCGGCUGACAAUGGCCAAAAGAUGGAACAGAGGAAGAAGUACUUUGAUGUGUGUCCAAAUACACACAUCCACACAGAUCCGCACACUCAUAUCUACUGCGGCAGAAGCAGCGAACCGGCAGCGGUAAGCCAAGUGCAAUAUGUCAAAUGGAGAGGAGAGGCAACCGUCCGCAUGAUGAGGAAGAAGUUUACUCCAGCAUGGGGGCUCCGGGCUCCACUGUCCAUUGCACGUUGAUCAGCACAGCGGCAGCAGGCGGCAGGAACAACUCAGUCAACGCAUCAAAGCGUUAAGCAAUAAAUGUGCAGGCGAACAAGAGCAACAAAAGCCAGAAACAUUUCCCGACUGUCUUUCAGCUUUGCGUGCAUUAUGAACUUUGCACGAGCCAGCGAUCACCUGUUGUUGUUACACAUUUUUGGCCCACAGCCCAAGACGUCAGCAGAAGCAGCAGCAGCAGCAACAGUGCAGUCGGCGAAAUUCACUGAACCGCCACCAACGCAACGCUGGUGUUGGUGCUGGUUUUGGCGUCGGCAGCGACUGCGACUUCUCUGUCGCCAGUGUGCACACACUGAAUAGAUCUGGAAAUAUUUGGAUUGUGUUUUAAUAAUAUUUGAGCCAACCGACGCAGCAUUUGUAGCAGCAAAAAUGCAGAUAGCCAGCAAUGCAACGGUACCAGCGAUGCUCUCUCUCUCUCUGCUACUUCACGGAAUCUUUAAGGAGGCUCGACUCAGGAACGUCGCUUUUUUGGUAUCCUACGUUCGACCAAACGGAAAGAAGUUGCCACACCACCGCC
rnacentral:misc_RNA from 1 species